CUCCUUGACCUACAACUCCGGGGGGAUGGCGACGUCGCAUGCGGCGGAGAGGACCAGCAUCUCGUCAAGGCCCUCCCAUUGGGCGCGGUUAUAUUUCAGUUUUAGAACUACGUAUUGAUGGACUGUAGCAGCGUUUCUUUUUACUUAAUUUCGUUUUGCUGUUUUUCCAUAUAUAUCACUCAUUUAUUGACAUGUACAUAUCAAAUCCAGUCCAUGUCUUGGCCUCUUUUUGAUGUCUGCGUUAUCUUCCCGCAGGUGUUGUAAUUUUAUCAACACGCAGGAAGGAUUUAUGGUACAGGAUAAAAGAAUGGCAUUAGCCCAACAAAAACUGUGAUCUGCCUCACAAUUUCUUCUAAUUCUAAAGUAGCACUGAAUCGAAUGGGAAAUUCCGGCAACUUUGCCGGUGUCUGGUAAGCACCGGAGGGAUGGUCUGCAUGGCACACAAAACACAGUGCAACGAGGGGCUCCAUAUCAUCAGGUCGAGGGCUAAAGUCAGCAUGGAUAGGGCUCGUCAUGCGGCGCCGUUCUCCCGACCUCCUUCCUAUCACAGCGUGAUGGGAAUCACUGGCUUACAAGGUGAUUCUAUACUCUAAUCUAUAUCCUUUCCAACAGAUGUGUUUGUCCAUUCAUGUUUUAUCUCCCUUGGAAUUGGUGGGUGUGAUUUUAUCCCCCAUUUUCUUUCUCUUUGUUCUGAUUUCUAAGCAACAAAACUGGUGUUAAUAAUAUAUGAUACUCGUAUAUUUGUAGCCUUAUAAUUUGUGUAUGUAUUAGUGGAAAAUGUAUUGUACCUAUUUGCUUAUAACUGCCUGUAAAUGAUCCUUAGGCCUAUCUUCUCACAGAACAUGUGUGUACGAAUCCUGUUUUAGGCUGUA